rnacentral:rRNA from 1 species
UAGGGAAUCUUCCACAAUGGACGAAAGUCUGAUGGAGCAACGCCGCGUGAGUGAAGAAGGGUUUCGGCUCGUAAAACUCUGUUGUUAAAGAAGAACAUAUCUGAGAGUAACUGUUCAGGUAUUGACGGUAUUUAACCAAAAAGCCACGGCUAACUACGCGCCAG